GGGGACGAAAUGGUCUCGACGGGCAGUAGAAGGGCGGUAGAACUGCAUGCCGGGCUUUCUCGCUAUCCCGUACAAUUAGCGAGAAAAGGCUAAAAUGCCGACUAUAAUUACGCUCUGGCUGCCUAAUUAAUUAAGGCAGCCCGUCCCCUGUAACCUGGCCUGCCAGGGUUACAGAGGGGCGUCGCCAAUGGCAGGGUGACCGGCUGAAUGGCUCGGGUUCAGCCGGUCGAGAUUCCACCGGGCUCGCCACCGGAAGGCUCGCCUGGCUGCCCGCCGGUGGUUAAAGCCAAUCGCCAGGCUAAGCAUGUAGAGGUUCUACUGACCUCCUGCCCGGACGCGGGUUCGAUUCCCGCCGUCUCCACCA
rnacentral:tmRNA from 1 species